GACGAAGGAUGCAAGCGUUAUCCGGAUUCAUUGGGUUUAAAGGGAGCGUAGGUGGCCUUAUAAGUCAGUGGUGAAAUCUCUCAGCUUAACUGAGAAAUUGCCAUUGAUACUGUAGGGCCUGAGUACAGAUGCCGUUGGCGGAAUAUGACAUGUAGUGGUGAAAUACAUAGAGAUGUCAUAGAACACCGAUUGCGAAGGCAGCUGACGAAACUGUAACUGACACUGAGGCUCGAGAGUGCGGGGAUCAAACAGG
rnacentral:rRNA from 1 species